rfam:Oryza glumipatula chromosome 10, whole genome shotgun sequence.
AAAAAAAACAAACCCUAGUUUCCGUGUCCAACGUUUGACUGUCCGUCUUGUUUGAAAAAAUUAUGAAAAAAAUUAAAAAGAUAAGUCACGCAUAAAAUAUUAAUCAUAUUUUAUCAUCUAACAACAAUGAAAAUACGAAUUAUAAAAAAAUUUCAUAUAAGACAGACAGUCAAAGUUGAGGCCUGUUCACUUUGAUGACAUUUUCA